CUGUCUCUGCAUUGCCUGCCUGUUGCCUUUUACUUUCAAAGCUGGUGGUACAGGUAAACACUUCAAAGAUUGAGGAAGAGGAUGCACUUGAGCUCCCCUCAAAGCACUUUAGAGAGGAAGUACAACUGAUCCAUCAAUGACAUUCUCUAGACAGCAAAUGCUGGUGGAAGCCAGAAUGCUUAGUGUAAGGACUCCUUUGCUGGGUGGAGAGGAAGUCUGCAAUAAACUACUGGUGGUCUCCCCACUUUCCUGGUUGCACAGUGGGACUUCUCCCACUGCUGCUAAUGCCCUAGAUGGUCUCCCUGCAGG